UGAAGGAAAGGGUGUUGUGGCCCAAAAAGUUUUUUGUGAGGAAAGUUUCCAACACACCCUCCGGUCUUAGGGCUUUUACCCCGUUUCUUGUUUUGAUCGGGUGAUAUCAGAGGGAUGAGCGAAUGCGCCAAAAGGAAACAUGAAGGCAGUAGCAUCAGUCCGACAAUUGAUGAUCAGUUUCAGGAAAAGGGAGCAUCAUUGGUGGUCGUUGAUGCCGAAGAGGAAGGAGUCUCCGGCGUUUGACGAGGCCGAACAGGGGAGGCAGCGAAGCUUUGGUCUUCAGUUUCUUGUCUGAUCGAAAGGACGAAGACGAACGGAAGUAGAUGACGAAGGAAGGCACUAAAGUUCGUCUAUUGGCUUGCAAGCCGAUAUGGUCUCUGGGGGUUCAAUGAGGCCAGAUGGGAAGGUGGUUGAAGCAACGGAGAUAAGACCUUCCAGCUUCUAGGUGCGAAGAAGGAGGAUCGAUUGGUGACAUCGUAAGUAGAUGGGUCAGUGGUGGCUGGAAAAUCGCGAGAAGGGGUGAGGGGUUCGACAAUGGCUGACUAGGCAAGCCGCAAUCGUUGGGAAAGAUUCUUUGUCUUCAUUUGGUCAGGCUAAGAGGGAAGGAACACAAGGAAGUAGAAAAUCGAUACAGGAGCUCGCAGAUUUGUCGAGAAAAGAAAAGGAAAAUGGAAGCAGAUAGGGUUCGGGUGUGGUGCUCGAUGAGCAAGAUGGGGACGGACUUCCUCCCUCAGGCGACUGUAGAUGAAAAAAAGCGUGGGGAAAAAGAAUAGUGAAAUGCAAGGAUGUAUUUCCUGUUCAUUUGUACAAAAUAUAAUUUAGAAGUAAACUGUGCUUUCAUUUUAAGUGUAAAGGGUAUAAGUUUUAUUUUUAAUAUAUUAUAUAAUGUAUUUAAUGUGUGUGUAUUUGAUUUAAAUAAAUAUGUAUUUGUGUAUGAAUUUACAUAAUGUA